UAGGGAAUAUUAGAAAUGGACGCAAGUCUGAUCUAGCAACACCGCGUGUGCGAAGAAGGCCUUCGGGUCGUAAAGCACUUUUUGGAAGGAAUAGGAAGGAAUGUACUUCCAGAAUAAGUCUCGGCUAACUACGUGCCAGCAGCCGCGGUAACACGUAGGAGGCAAACGUUAUCCGGAUUUACUGGGCGUAAAGCGCGUGUAGGUGGUUCUGUAAGUAGGGCGUGAAAGCUCCCGGCUCAACUGGGAGAUGCCGUUCUAAACUGCAGAGCUAGAGGAUGGUAGAGGGAGGUGGAAUUCCAGGUGUAGCGGUGGAAUGCGCAGAUAUCUGGAGGAACACCAGUGGCGAAGGCGGCCUCCUGGACCAUUCCUGACACUCAGACGCGAAAGCUAGGGUAGCAAACGG
rnacentral:rRNA from 1 species